CCGUCAAACUACAUAAAAUUAAAUUCUUAUCAAAAAUAAAAACAAAAGAAAAUACUUGGAUUUUUUUUUGCAGAUCAAAGUAGUUUUUUACUAUAAUUAUUCAUACACAACAAGGCCAGAGUGCCAUAAACUUUUGCUACAUGGACAUUAUUCAAGAUACUAAAGGUUAGCCUCAUAGUAAUAAUUAGCCAACCCUAGCACUCAUAACUAUUUUACAUAGAUAAUACUCCCAAAAGCAUUAAUUAAACAAGACAGUAGUCCAUUUUGUAGCCGUACCAUUUGUGCUAUAUUAUAGAAUUGGUCCUCGGAUCCGCAAUUUUCAUUUUAGAAGGUAGUGUUACGAAUUUGAGGCG
rnacentral:lncRNA from 1 species